AUGAUACACGAAGAACCUUACCCAGGCUUGACAUGUUGGUAGUAGGGAUCCGAAAGGUGACCGACCCUUCGGGGAGCCGUUCACAGGUGCUGCAUGGCUGUCGUCAGCUCGUGUCGUGAGAUGUCCGGUUAAGUCCGGUAACGAGCGCAACCUCGCUGUGUGUUAUAUGUGUCACACGGGACUGCCGGUAUCAAGCCGGAGGAAGGUGGGGAUGACGUCAAGUCAGCAUGGCCUUUAUGUCUGGGGCUACACACACGCUACAAUGGCCAGUACAAUAGGUUGCAAGACCGCGAGGUGGAGCCAAUCCUUAAAGCUGGUCUCAGUUCGGAUUGCAGGCUGCAACUCGCCUGCAUGAAGUCGGAGUUGCUAGUAACCGCGCGUCAGCUAUAGUGCGGUGAAUACGUUCCCGGGCCUU
rnacentral:rRNA from 1 species